UUAGAGAAAACUAUCAUGCAUAGUUAUUAUAUUUUAGGUUUAUCUUUCUUUCUUCUUUAAAUUUGAUAACAUUAUUAAUUUGAGAUAUUGACUAGUUGGAAAACAUUUAUUUGUGGUUUUAGUUUGAAUAUUGGAAUAAAAGAGUGUUUAUUUGUAAUUUGUGAUUUUUGUAAUUCAAAUGGGUUACGAAUGGUAGAAUUUGAGUUUAAGAGUUUUGAGGAUUCCUAAA
rnacentral:lncRNA from 1 species